UUUCGAGGUAGGAGUCGACUCCUGUGAGGUAUGGUGCUGGGUGCAGAUGCAGUGUGGCUCUGGAUAGCACCUUAUGGACAGUUGUGUCCCCAAGGAAGGAUGAGAAUAGCUACUGAAGUCCUAAAGAGCAAGCCUAACUCAAGCCAUUGGCACACAGGCAUUAGACAGAAAGCUGGAAGUUGAAAUGGUGGAGUCCAACUUGCCUGGACCAGCUUAAUGGUUCUGCUCCUGGUAACGUUUUUAUCCAUGGAUGACUUGCUUGGGUAAGGACAUGAAGACAGUUCCUGUCAUACCUUUUAAAGGUAUGGAGAGUCGGCUUGACUACACUGUGUGGAGCAAGUUUUAAAGAAGCAAAGGACUCAGAAUUCAUGAUUGAAGAAAUGCAGGCAGACCUGUUAUCCUAAACUAGGUGAGUCAGCUUUUGGUACAUGUGAUGAUUUUCAGUGUAACCAAUGAUGUAAUGAUUCUGCCAAAUGAAAUAUAAUGAUAUCACUGUAAAACCGUUCCAUUUUGAUUCUGAGGUUACUCUACUAACAAGCAUCACACAUUUGUAUUUUGCCCUGAUUAAUAUGUUGGCUUCGCUUUCAGGGUUUUUAAUGACCACAACAAGCAAGCAUGCAGCUUACUGCUUGAAAGGGUCUUGCCUCACCCAAGCUAGAGUGCAGUGGCCUUUGAAGCUUACUACAGCCUCAAACUUCUGGGCUCAAGUGAUCCUCAGCCUCCCAGUGGUCUUUGUAGACUGCCUGAUGGAGUCUCAUGGCACAAGAAGAUUAAAACAGUGUCUCCAAUUUUAAUAAAUUUUUGCAAUCC
rnacentral:lncRNA from 10 species